AUCCUCAAUUGAAAACCACGAUGGGAAAAUGUAUUUUUCGAGUAUAUUCUGGACCAAUUUUAUUGUACGCAGCAGUUACAAUCAUCAGUGUACAGGCAUUCUGGUCUGCAUUUGACUUAGUUUCGAUUGAAAAUUCGCAAACUGGGAUUGUCACCACACAACUGAAGGUAACACGUCUCAAUAAAACAACAUAUGGAAAUAGUGGCAUUGUCGACUUAACAGCAGAUCUUAACGAUAACUACGAUUGUGAACUGAAAGCGUAUAUUAGUUCUAAGGGUACCAGUAAGUACACCCUACUGCCGUACAAAAUUCCUCGAGAUGCUUGUUGCACACAUUUAGAAUCUGAUUAUUGGAAAUCCCUAGAACAGAGCCUCCAAGACUGUUCAGAUAUACCGGCACGUAAUGGAAAUGAAAAGUUUUGUUUAGCUUUGAAAAAACGUAAAUAUGAAACGAGACAAUGUGGCUUUAACUAUAAUGUCAUCCCAAGAAUUGCGGACGUUGGUACAUAUAAAAUUGAAAUUAUUAUGUACGAGAAAGGGUCGUCGGACGUUUCCUCCAUUGCCACUUUUGUAGCCAGAUUAUACUGACAAUAUUUCUCACGUUGUGUAUGAAAAGGGCGUAAAGGUUGAGUAGAAGAAAUUGAAAAAAAAUAUCAACCGAUGAUGAUUCCAAUUACGGACCAAACUAUUUCUGUAAUUUUAAGAAGUCAAAUAUUUUGUGGUUUUUGGAAGAUAUUUUUGAAAUAAAGAAGAAGUGACCGAAAAUAUACAGGGGC